CAGAUUUUCUCCGACGCUUUGAAAGACCACGUAGCCGCUAAGCCGCAUGAAUCAGCGGGUGCGAGUGAGAGCGCGCUAGCGGCCGGCGCAUUUCGCAUUUUGAUAUUCGAUUUUUGCCACAUUUUGUUGAGAUUUUCGUGCCUUAUUUUCGAUCUAAGCAUGUACUUACAGAACUCGACCAGCACGAACUCGUUGUCGGCAAUCAGCUGCUUGAAGUUGUCCACCGUCGCCACCAGAACACCCUCCUCAACUUUGACCUCCGCCUCGGCGGAAGCGGCCACGUAGGACGCCGCCAAGAAAAGUGCACAGAUCAGGAAUUUCAUUGCGGGCACUCGUCGUCGUUUGAUAUUUAUUGAAUCUAUUGCCCUAUGUGGGUGCAGCACACUCGCCAACCAAAACUGGGAUUCGAACUGCGCUGAACUUGCCCGGUUGCAAGUAGAAAUUCAAAUGAAUUCAAGUGACAGUGAAACGCAGAGAUAUAUACAUAUAAAGCUGAAUUAGGUGAGGGAUUUUUGGUAUUUCUCUACAAGUUUCCGAUAAAUUUUACUAAUAUCGAUAUUUGUCAAUGAAUGAGCAUUGAACUGUAGGUGGCGCUUGGGUGCCCAAAGGUUGGCAAUCGUCGAAGGUAAAUUUUUUUAGUUUAGGAUCUCGUUUAUAUAUUUGAAGUUUU
ensembl:ncRNA asRNA:CR45396 antisense RNA:CR45396